GAAAAAUUUUUAAUAUUUUUUUCAAAGUCUACAAUAACAAUGGGUUUACCUCCGUUUACAUUGAGCGCGCGCGUGCGCAUACUAUACAAUUUGAUUAGCUCAAGAAAUUUUUAAGAAAAAACGAAAACGUACUU